rnacentral:misc_RNA from 1 species
UCUCUCUCUCUCUCUCUCUCUCCUCUUUUGAUCUCUGUCAAACCCAAAACCAAAAGCAGUGUCUUGUGAGAUUGAAGGUUGUCUUGUAAGUGAGUAAUGGAGGAGUGAGGAGAAUGGGUCGCUUUUAAAGAAGAACGAGAGAAGGAAGGGUUUAAUGGAUAAGAUAAGGGUAUAUUGGGAAGAAAUGAAAAGAUAACCAUGUGAUUG